UAGAGUGCCCCCUGCAGGCCAAGGCCAGCUGAUACAAGGCAGGCUGCGCAUGUGCGAACGGCGCAGGUCGGGAGAGUCAGGCACCUGGAGCAGGACAGUAUCAGGAGAGGCCUGAUGACCGGAGAGGGCUGUUGGGAGUAUCUGGUGUUUGCCUAAUUUCAAGCCUUAACCUUCACAAGUGUGCACGUUCCCCCUGAAGGCAGAGCUGGAAGAAUCUGGACUGAUUCAGGGUUGGAUUGUGCAAGCUGGCCCGAGUAUCCUGCAAUAAGAAACACCUGGGAGUUUGAGUGUUGGUGGAGCCUUGGACCCCAGCAAACAGCAGAGCUAGAGGAAUCUGGAAUGCCUGAUCAGGGUUGGAUGGGGUAGACCGGCUGAGGUAGCUUCCGAUAAGAGAUCCCUGGGAUCCUUGAUUGCUGCAGAAAUCUAGGACCCCAGCAAACAGUAUACCUGAACUAAAUCUGGACUUUAUCCUUUCACCUCCCCUUGCCUGGAAGAAUAGUAUGAUUAAGAGAAGAUGGAAUAAGCAUCACUGAAAGGGUUGUUAAAAAUAGAGCCAGGGGGCGCCUGGGUGGCUCAGUCAGUUAAGCGGCCAACUUCGGCUCAGGUCAUGAUCUCGCGGUCCGUGAGUUCGAGCCCCGCGUCGGGCUCUGUGCUGACAGCUCAGAGCCUGGAGCCUGUUUCAGAUUCUGUGUCUCCCUCGCUCUGACCCUCCCCCGUUCAUGCUCUGUCUCUGUCUCAAAAAUAAAUAAACGUUAAAAAAAAAAUUAAAAAAAAAAUAGAGCCAGUGGGACAUCGAGGAAUUAAGACUAUGUGUCUUUGGUCUCAAAUUCUCAGCUAAAAGUCAAAAUUUGUUGCAUGUUUAAAUGGACUUCCUACUUAAUACUAGCUCUAGCAACCCAUCACCUAUAGAUUACUGGAAUUGUAGCUAUACCGGCACCAAUCAAUUAAGCCUAUCAUUAAGGAUUACUUACGAAAAGGCUUAAUUUGUCCCCUGUAUUAGUUGCUGUAACACCCCUAUCCUCCCUGUCUAUAGACCACAUGGGAGGUGAUGGAGGUUUGUAUGGGUCCUCAGAGAAAUCAAUAUUAUUAUCCCUUGGCACCCUGUAGUACCGAGCCCUCACACCUUGCUCAUAGCCACUCCUUUAAUAGCAAUACCUUUACUAUUACAGACAUUUGCAGUGCCUUCUUUAGCAUACCUGUUGAUCCUGAAAGUCAAUUCUUGUUUACCUUCACCUGGGAAGGACAACAAUAUGCAUGGACUGUCAUGCCACAGGGAUAAACUGAAAGCCCUGCUUAUUUUUCUCAAAUGCUAAAAGUAGACAUUUCAUAGAAAUCUCUGAAGGCUCUCCCCUGUUACAAUAUGUCCUCUUAUGUUCUCCUUCCCAAGAGGCCUAUACUAAAUACAACCUUCAUCACUGGCUAAAAAGGGACAUAAGGUGUCUAAAGAAUAAUUACAAUUUUGUUUUGCCCUGGGUUAAAUACUUGGGACACCUUAUUUCAAAUCAAGUGUUGCUCCCUGAUCCAGCUGGAGUCCAGGGAAUAUUGUCCUUCCCCCCCUCAAAAACCGAAUACCAACUACAGGGUUUUGGGGGCUUAGCUGGAUACUGUAGAAACUGGGAACCCAACUUUUUAGCCUUGGCUUAACGACUUUAUUCCCUCAACUCCAACCAACCUGAUGCCCUUACGUGGAACAAAGAAAGUCAAGAAGUCCUCAUGAAACUAAAAGCCCCUCGAAUCCACCAGUUUUGGAAUGCCCUUGCCAUUCUAACCCAGUGACAUGGGGACAAACACAGGCCUGUUGGCUAUUAUAGCCAACAGUUGGAUCCUGUAGCCAAUGGACUGCCACCCUGCAUGAAAGCCAAAGCUGUAGGUGCUGAAUUACUUGGAGAAGAAGUCACCAAGGGUUCCCCAUUAUGUUCCCCCUUUCUCAAUUCUUAUCCUACUCAACAUUUAUCUUCUAGCAGAUUAAACUCUUGUAAAGUUCUCUAUCACCCCCAAAUGUUACUGUCACAUGCUAUAAUUCCUUAAAUCCUGCUACCCGGCUGCCUUUACCCUCUGCUGAAACUCCUAGGACUGUAUCUAACAGACUUCUCAUACCACAAUCAGAUUUACAGGAAAUGCCAUUUGAAAAUGCAGACAGUCUAGUUUACUGAUGGCUCUUAAAAAACUAUCAAGCUGGCUUUGAGGUUGUCUCCUUAACUGAAAACACUGAAGCAGACCUAUCACAGUCUGCUUAGCUCAUCAGCUAAGUCAUCUUAGCUCAACAAGCUGAAUCAUUUGCCUUAAUCCAAGCCUGCCUUUUGGCAGAAGGACAGACCAUUAACAUUUACACCAAUCGUUGCUGUGCUGUUGGUGUAGCACAUGUUUUGGUAUGUUCUGGGAACAAAGAGGGUUUUAACUUCUAUUGGGCAACAGAUUAAAAAUAGUUCUUAUGUCUUAGAACUGUUAUAUUGCUAUUUCAAGGGCCUACGUCUUUGGCUAUUAUGAAAAUCCUGGCUAUUCAAUGGCAAACACCAAGGAAACAAAAGGGAAUCAUUUGGCUGGUGCAGCUGCCAAACAGGCUGCCUUUAAAAAAUUUAAGCCAUUUUUUGAAUUCCCACUUGCUACUGACUUUAACAAAAAAUCUUAAAUACUUAUAACACCCAAGAAUUUGCCUCAGGAAGGGAUCAAAAAAACUUGGUCUGACCAAGGCUGCCAAUUUGACUCUCAAUGAAAUAUUUGGUAUGGGUCGAAUGAUAGACCAGUCCUCUCUGAUUAUGUCCAGAAACAAAUUUUUAAUUAUAUUUAUGAAUUUAACUCAUUGGAAUACUGACAAGGUGGUCUUUGGGGAAAGCAAUACUUUUGGAAACCAUUUUCAAAAGUAUCCUCUCAAACUUAUGAAAAAUGUCAGAUUUGCCCUAAACAUACCCCCGGAAAACAUCUUCAUAGUUCAAAAGGACAUUUUCCCUCCCGGUCUCUUUGAGAUAUGGCAAUUGGAUCUUAUCUAGCUGCCACCAUCUCAGCAAUAUAAAUAUGUUUUCGUAAUGGUUUGUAUAUUUUCUCACUGGGUAGAAGCCUCUCCUUGCCACAGAGCUAUAGCCUUAGCAGUAGGAAAAAUGUCACUAGAAAAGAUUAUUCCAAAUUGGGGAAUGCCCCCAGAACUUCAUAGUGACUGAGGAAUCCAUUUCACUGGACAGAUCUUAUAGGUCAUUUGCCACAUUUGACCACUUAUGCAACAUUUUGAGUGUGCCCAUCAUCCUCAAUCAUCCGGCCUUGUAGAAUGUACCAAGGGCAUUAUAAAAAUUCAGUUGGCAAAACUUAUGGAAUCUUUCCACCUGCCAUGGCCAAGAGCUCUUCCCUUGGGACUAUUGACUCUUAGAUCCAUUCCCUAUGGGUGACAUAACUCUCUCCCUUUGAAAUAAUAUUUGGAAGAGCAAUGAGAAUAGAUCAAGGUGUAUGUGAACCCAGAUUACCUGAAGGUGAGAUGAUGAUUUACUGUAAGGGAUUAAUUCAGACCCUAUAAGGAAAUGAAAAAUUAGUAGAACAGUCUUUCUGCAGCAUGCUCCAGGAGAUGAAGACCUCAAACAUCAUGGCCUUCAACCCAGAGACAUGGUUUAUUGGAAAAGACACCUCCAUAAAGAUUCCCUCCAGCAAGAUGUGGAGGAUCAUACCAGCUAUUAUUGACUAAUCCUUAUGCUGCUAAAUUAGAAGACAUAGACUCAUGGAUAUAUGUUUCCUAUUUUAAAAAGUCUUCAACAUCUAACUGGGCUACCCACCAGAGACCUUAAACUAACCCUUUCUUGGAAAAAGAAGAUGAUGUCUGUGUAGACUGCUCUCCAAAGACUAAGGACCAGGCCACUAUUAUGUUAACAAGGUCCAUCACACCAAUUCUCAUGAGGCUUAUGAGUUUAUUAAUAUUUCUCUUCCUUCUCAUCACCAUUUUCAAUUGGAAGAACAAUGCUAUAAUUCAUAUGUCUCAAUCCCUUGCUACUUCUGAAACCUUUACCUACAGGGUCCUUUACUGAUAAUGAUUAUCUCAUAAUGUUACCUAUAUACAGUUUCUCCAUGGUCCCAAAUAUUUCCAUUAGUUACUACAAAACACUGUCUCUAACACUUAUUUUGUCAGGAUAUUCUUGCCUCAAGGAAAGCCUCCAUGUUUCAUGCUUAUUCUCCCAAACUAGAGACAACCUUGAAUGUAAACUUGGUACAGCCAAUGUGGAAAACAGUAUGGAGGUUCCUUAAAAAGUUAAAAAUAGAACUACCUAUGAUCCCAUAAUCGCACUACUGGGUAUUUACCCAAAGACUACAAAAACAUUAAUUCAAAGGGAUAUAA